GACGGAGGGGGCUAGCGUUGUUCGGAAUUACUGGGCGUAAAGAGUGCGUAGGUGGUUUAGUAAGUUGGAAGUGAAAGCCCGGGGCUUAACCUCGGAAUAGCUUUCAAAACUACUAAUCUAGCGUGUAGUAGGGGAUGAUGGAAUUCCUAGUGUAGAGGUGAAAUUCUUAGAUAUUAGGAGGAACACCGGUGGCGAAGGCGGUCAUCUGGGCUACAACUGACACUGAUGCACGAAAGCGUGGGGAGCAAACAGG
rnacentral:rRNA from 1 species